rnacentral:rRNA from 1 species
AAGGCCCUUUCGGGGGUACUCGAGCGGCGAACGGGUGAGUAACACGUGAGUAAUCUGCCCCUGGCUUUGGGAUAGCCACCGGAAACGGUGAUUAAUACCGGAUAUAACCACUUUUCGCAUGGAUGGUGGUGGAAAGUUUUUCGGCCAGGGAUGUGCUCGCGGCCUAUCAGCUUGAUGGUGAGGUAAUGGCUCACCAUGGCUUCGACGGGUAGCCGGCCUGAGAGGGUGACCGGCCACACUGGGACUGAGACACGGCCCAGACUCCUACGGGAGGCAGCAGUGGGGAAUAUUGGACAAUGGGCGGAAGCCUGAUCCAGCAACGCCGCGUGAGGGAUGACGGCCUUCGGGUUGUAAACCUCUUUCAGCAGGGACGAAGCGCAAGUGACGGUACCUGCAGAAGAAGCACCGGCCAACUACGUGCCAGCAGCCGCGGUAAUACGUAGGGUGCGAGCGUUGUCCGGAAUUAUUGGGCGUAAAGGGCUCGUAGGCGGUUUGUCGCGUCGGGAGUGAAAACCAGGUGCUUAACACCUGGCUUGCUUUCGAUACGGGCAGACUAGAGGUAUUCAGGGGAGAACGGAAUUCCUGGUGUAGCGGUGAAAUGCGCAGAUAUCAGGAGGAACACCGGUGGCGAAGGCGGUUCUCUGGGAAUGACCUGACGCUGAGGAGCGAAAGUGUGGGGAGCGAACAGGAUUAGAUACCCUGGUAGUCCACACCGUAAACGUUGGGCGCUAGGUGUGGGGUCCAUUCCACGGAUUCCGUGCCGCAGCUAACGCA